UACGGAGGGUGCAAACGUUGCUCGGAAUCAUUGGGCGUAAAGCGCGCGUAGGCGGCUGGACAAGUUGGAUGUGAAAGCCCCGGGCUCAACCUGGGAAGUGCAACCAAAACUGUCCGGCUUGAAUCUCGGAGGGGGUCAGAGAAUUCCCGGUGUAGAGGUGAAAUUCGUAGAUAUCGGGGGGAAUACCAGUGGCGAAGGCGCUGACCUGGACGAUGAUUGACGCUGAGGCGCGAAAGCGUGGGUAGCAAACAGG
rnacentral:rRNA from 1 species